UGCAAGUCGAGCGGUAGAGAGAAGCUUGCUUUCCUCCUUGAGAAGCGGCGGACGGGUGAGUAAUGCCUAGGAAUCUGCCUGGUAGUGGGGGAUAACGUUCGGAAACGGACGCUAAUACCGCAUACGUCCUACGGGAGAAAGCAGGGGACCUUCGGGCCUUGCGCUAUCAGAUGAGCCUAGGUCGGAUUAGCUAGUUGGUGAGGUAAUGGCUCACCAAGGCGACGAUCCGUAACUGGUCUGAGAGGAUGAUCAGUCACACUGGAACUGAGACACGGUCCAGACUCCUACGGGAGGCAGCAGUGGGGAAUAUUGGACAAUGGGCGAAAGCCUGAUCCAGCCAUGCCGCGUGUGUGAAGAAGGUCUUCGGAUUGUAAAGCACUUUAAGUUGGGAGGAAGGGCAGUUGCCUAAUACGUAACUGUUUUGACGUUACCGACAGAAUAAGCACCGGCUAACUCUGUGCCAGCAGCCGCGGUAAUACAGAGGGUGCAAGCGUUAAUCGGAAUUACUGGGCGUAAAGCGCGCGUAGGUGGUUUGUUAAGUUGGAUGUGAAAUCCCCGGGCUCAACCUGGGAACUGCAUUCAAAACUGACUGACUAGAGUAUGGUAGAGGGUGGUGGAAUUUCCUGUGUAGCGGUGAAAUGCGUAGAUAUAGGAAGGAACACCAGUGGCGAAGGCGACCACCUGGACUAAUACUGACACUGAGGUGCGAAAGCGUGGGGAGCAAACAGGAUUAGAUACCCUGGUAGUCCACGCCGUAAACGAUGUCAACUAGCCGUUGGAAGCCUUGAGCUUUUAGUGGCGCAGCUAACGCA
rnacentral:rRNA from 1 species